rnacentral:lncRNA from 1 species
UGCAAGAAUAAAUACCCACACCAACGAAAAAGAAACAACAAGUUUUAUUAUUUCAAUUCUAUGAUUCUAAGUAUAAUUUUUGAGGUUUUGAGGGUUGAAGGAGGAAUUGCAAUGCUCUCAUAUCUCACAGAAGUAAUUGCUGGCAAUCCAUUUGAUUCAAAAUAUCACUUUGCAGUGAAAACGCAAACCGCUUGCUUUUGGCUUGACUUCAUAAUACAUAAAUUUUUGUUACUUCGAUCACCAUCAAAACAAACGUAAAUCAGUGUGAAUUUAUCUGAACUUAAUACAAUGGGAAGGGAAAUUUUCAAUCAAUUUUUUAAAAAAGUUUAUCAGGACAGUCGUAUUCAAGUCAAAGGAAAUUGUUUUUUUCAAUUUUUCCCUGAAUUUUCAUUUGGCCUUAAGAGGAGUGUAUUAUUCAGUUUUGUUGUCACCAGCGAGUGGAGAACUAAUGUAUAAUUGUUAAUUUCAUUGUUUGCUUCCAACACUAAGAGGUUAGAGAAAGUGGGUCAGAAGAGUACCCUGUGUUCUAGCCAUAACUUACAAUGGUGGCGUUUGUAAUAUCUUAUCAAAGGUGAGAUAAAAGUAAAAUGCGGAGAAUAGAGCAGACCACUAUGAACUGUGAUUUCACUUUGAUAUAGAAAUCGACGAAUAAAAACUAUAAAGUACGAUAUUGUUCCAAUCGGUGGUAAAAAUUAUCGUCGUUGCCUAGGGCUGGUAUGAUGUCCAUCACAUCCAAUACCACGGUACGGUAUUGACAACGUAACCAAGAUUCCAGUUAUUCAAGGAUGAAAUUGUCACUUGAGUGCAUAUAUAAUCAAAUUUGCUCAGGUUAAAUUCACGCUGUGUCUUUAUAGAAGGCAAAUUGCCUGAAACCCCACUUUGAUAGUCUCGGAUAAGAAGGAAGUUUAAGCCAACCGUCGUUUUUAUUAUUUAAAAUGAAAUGAAUACAAUAAUCCUCAUGGCUCCGGUAGUCUCAUAUAUACUAUCAAUCUGGCAUUCAAUUUACUUAGUCGGCGUUGAUUUGUGUUCUGUUAAAGUAGACUUGUAGUACGCAAUUGCAAAAGUUCAGAUAUCGGCCGGUUGCUGUCGUUCUUUAUUGACUUAAUAUUCCUGUUUAAUUGCUUUAAGGCUCUGGAUUUUACUGAAUAAAGUUGUUAACCAAAGAGAAAAAUUCGGUC